rnacentral:lncRNA from 1 species
GAUUUUGCAACCUGUACUUGGCCUGCAGGUCCCCAGCUUGCCUCCUCUGCACUCGCCUGAACUCUUUGAGGCAUUUACCUCUUCCUUCCUGGGUCAAGAUUUAGUGCAUCGCCUUCCUCAAGGUCGUCGCUCAGGCAACAUUCUUAGGUGAUGCAAGAAUCAUUCUCAAUAGCAUGGAAACAAUUUCUUCUCUGCCACCAUGCAGGGUUCACAUCCCCCAUAAACGAAGUGUUUCCUUCCCUGCGUGUUGUGCUUACGUCAGCUGGGGACAAGCGUGUGAUGCUGCGUAUCGUCCUCCAUCCGCGCCGGCGUCGGCUGGUCAUCAAGGCUGCUGUUUCCUCCUCAUCCCAGCGGCAAGUCUCUCCAGGAAAUUGCACGGUGGCAUGGAGAGCGUGAUAUUUGUUGGAAGAGACCUGAACUAAAAGGCUCAUAAAUCUCUUAACAAGAACACUGGAAUUUGGAGUGAUAAUUUCCACUUAGCAAUUGGGUGUCGCAAAGAUGUUAAGUAUGACGUGUCAUCUAAUAAAAAAUUUUAAAAGUUUUUCUACCCGAUGAAC